AGGGAGAAAAGAAGAUUAAGAAUGUGACACAUUUUUCACAAGACACGCUCCGUUUUCUUGUGACUGAGAGUGUUCUCAUGCCCGCCAACGGCCAUAUUCAGUUCCGCGAUCCAAUUUUGGAUGCUGAAACCUUCAGCACUUUACAAAGCUGGGUUUUUUUCUUCACCAGAACAUGGAAAUUUGAUUACCUUCUGAGAGUGAAACAAGAACGGGCUCGGCUCUGUGGCUAAAAUCGUUUGAGAACAUCCGUGUAAAGAGUGCUGAUGAGAUAAAAAGAAAUGGAAGAAGGGCACGAAGGACGCCCAGGCAGCAGGAAUGUGUUGAUGUCUGCCAGGCCGCCCCAGAGACAGACACCCGGGGGCUCCCGGCUGCGCCCCCUGGGGCCCCGCACCCGCAGGGCUGGAAUACCUUGCCUCGCCUUCCCGUUUUCAGCCUGGGAGGUGACUCGCCCGUUCAGCGUGUCUUUCCCCUAAUAAACCGCCAGUACCUCUGGGAGAGG